GUGUCUUGUACAAACUUGGUUUUUCAAUCCUGUUCUGAAUUUAUUGAGUCAGGGCUUCUUUUCCUGCUUCAUGUUCCCCUGUAACCUAGCCAGCAAACGCGAGAUUGUUGGGUCAGCUACCUCCAAGGUUCUAUCUAGAAGAGCAUCCUCGACAAACUUAUGCAGAUCCAAUGAAUCUAUGAACCUGUCAUCUGUUGGGCGCCUUCCGGUGAACAUCUCAAGCAGCAAUAUGCCAAGACUAUAAAUAUCACCACAUUUUCAAAGGUGUUAUCCACCCGUCAACAAUGGCUGCUAAAUAAGGAUAAUGCCAAUCGGCAUGGCAGUUGGUGAGAUGGUUUUCGUCGGUAAGUGUAGACAAAUAUGAUAAGAUGGUACUCUUGCGUCCACCUGGGUUGUUCCUUCAGAAUACUAUCAAGGGAAAAGCUCAACGUUUCUGCUUUGAAGCGGCGUCCAUUUCUGCAUGAUUACAAUGGGGUUGAACAGAACAGCAGUAACCUCAUGCCUUGACGACCAUUCCUAGUGCCCUCCAGAUUUUCUGGUAUCAAGAGAUAUAUGGAGGAAAUGACUGUAUUAUAUUUACAAAAAUACUUCCAAAACCAUAAGGUGGAGUAAAGUUUGAUCAGGUGUUGUCCACGAUUGAUUUAAAGCCAAACCAUCAAUAAAAUGGUGGUUUGCUGUGAAAUGCUUACACACAGAUUGGCCUUAUACCCAACAUCUAAUUUAGUUGCCUGUUUUUCAAAUAUUCUCUGUCAUGGCAUGGCUUGCAAAUUAAAACGUCAGAUUUAAAAUAUGAUAUUCAGAACAAAUCCUUUUUCAGUUUAUGUGAACAACCCUGUAUACAUGUUCAAUUGGAAAACCAAGAUUAACCAUUUUCUCAGCUUACUCUGGGA